rnacentral:rRNA from 1 species
AUUGAACGCUGGCGGCAGGCCUAACACAUGCAAGUCGAACGAGUGGCGGACGGGUGAGUAAUGUAUGGGAAACUGCCUGAUGGAGGGGGAUAACUACUGGAAACGGUAGCUAAUACCGCAUACCAUCAGAUGUGCCCAGAUGGGAUUAGCUUGUUGGUGGGGUAACGGCUCACCAAGGCGACGAUCCCUAGCUGGUCUGAGAGGAUGCCCAGCCACACUGGGACUGAAACACGGCCCAGAGUCCUACGGGAGGCAGCAGUGGGGAAUAUUGCACAAUGGGCGCAAGCCGGAUGAAGCCAUGCCGCGUGUAUGAAGAAGGCCUUAGGGUGGUAAAGUACUUUCAGCGGGGAGGCGUUACCCGCAGAAGAAGCACCGGCUAACUCCGUGCCAGCCGCCGCGGUAAUUC